rnacentral:rRNA from 1 species
CACGUAGUUAGCCGGGACUUCUUCCUGAGAUACCGUCCUCUCUCUUCUCUCAGAAAAGGACUUUACAACCCAAGGCCUUCUUCAUCCACGCGGCAUUGCUGCAUCAGGGUUUCCCCCAUUGUGCAAUAUUCCU